ensembl:lncRNA
GUCCAUCUGGAUGAGAGCCGUGAGGUUGUAGGCCUCGGGCUCCUCGGGGACGGCCGGCGACAGGAACACGACCUUGGAGUCGUUGUAGAACACAUACUCCGUGCCCUCGACCUAAAGGCCGAGGAAGGGUUGUCAGGGCACGCAGCACCAGCUACAUCCCUCCCUGGCCCGUCCCCAUGAGCUGGCACCGGGACUGACCGUCAUGGGCUGCAGGGGUCCCGCCUCCCGCCGCCGCCGCCACGACUGCAGGGGCUCGGCUAUGACCACCAUGGCGAAUCGCUGGAUCAGGCUGAACCCCUGCCCUGUGACGUUGAUGCUCCGGCCGCCGCUGGGGGACAGGGAGAGGGCGGGGCCUGAGUGGGCACCACUGGGCAAGGGAGGUGCCCAGCCAGCUCCCCACCCCGACUCUGGCCUUGAGGUGGGUUUGGGGUUCCCGGCCCCACCCUGCCUGGGGUCCACGUGGACACAUGUGAGUAUGGGCCUGCUGGAAGGCAGGGGGUGUGGUCAGAGCACUUGCGCUCCUGGGCACCACGGUCCUGGUGGGUCAGAAGUAGGGCAGGGGUGGGGGCUGUGAAGCCUGCCCGGCAAGGCUUCUAGGGGAAGUUGAUUCUAGGGGAUCUUGGGAGGCCUCCUCCUGCUGCCCAGACCGGCUCUACCGUAUCCUCGCAAGCCCAGUGGCCACAGGGCGUCUGGGAAACAGCUGGAGGGGGUGGGGGUAGGGCUGAGGGAGGGGCCACACCUGACGAAGCUUCGCAGCGGCUCGAACGCCCGUAGCACUGGGUUCUCACGGUAGGUGAAGGUGACACCGGGGCUGGGCGCUUGGGAGCCCCCGUAGUAAAUCUUCAGGGGCAGCUCUCCCAGAACUGACUGGGGGCCGGUGACACACUGAAGCUGUGCCCCAAACUGCACCCUGGGGGAGGAAACAGCCAGUCAAUGUCAACCCACUCUGCGAGCAACCCUAGUCCCAGGCCAGUGGGUCACCGGGUCUGAUCGGUUCCACUGCGCCUCCAGAACAGGCCCAGCGUCGUGGCUGGAGACUCGCCCACCCCAUUCCCAGGACCGAGGCGGACAGGGAUUCGUCCCGUGGGGACACCCACACUUUACAAGGGACGUCAUUGAGGGUCACCCGCACGUCUUCCUCAGAGCCAGUGUCCAGGUGGGUGCCGCUGAUGGUCAGCAAGGUGCCACCCGCCUGUGGCCCCUGCUUUGGUGCCACGCUGAGGGGCUGGGGCUGCUAGAAGGGCGACAAGUGCAUCUGGCUCAGGGCCGAGCGGCGGGGCUGCAGUCCUCCCUCCCAGGCCCUGGCCGGGCAGUGACCACUGUCAGGAGGAGGCAGGGGCACCGCCUUGCCCCCUGCCCCCGCGUCAGCCUGUGGUCCCCAAGGUCCAGGAGUCCGCACUUGCCACCCACCUCUGCUCUAACCUGCAAGACCCACCUGCCAGGUGCUUACCUGGUAGGUGAACUGGACAUGGGGAGGCGAAUGGCCGAGCUUCCCGUUGACAUCCACCUCGACGCCCCCCGAGAAGGGCGCCUCCGCGGCCUCGAUGGCACACACGAUCCUGGGCGAGCGGCAGGCAGGGGAGGGACUGGUCUCGCCACUGGGGCCCAGGUCACAGGCUGUCCACUCACCGGGUGGACACAGAGUACCGUUUGGGCUCAAAGGUGCAAUUCCGGCCAGCCACGGUGACCCUCGUCACGUCGUCUGCUUUGACCCCCAAGUUUGAGCCAAGGAUGGUGACGUGAAUGCCUCCGCCCAGGGGGCCCGUCUCAGGGUGGAUCUGAAAUCGGCAGAGCCCAGCUGACCUGGUGGCUUGGGCAGGGUGGCACGUGUGGAGGGCUGGGGCCAGGCCAGCGUCCCUCGUCGGGGAGGCGGGAGGGGCUCACCCUGGUGAUGACUGGCGGCGGGCACUCGGAGGUGGCGUUGCUGCACAGGGCCUCGUACACACACCUGCUCUGCCCACUGCACCACACGCACUUGUAGGCGGGGUCGGCGGCCAGGCACAGGCUGCAGUCGCUGCGGCCGAAGGAGCAGUUGUAGAGAGUCACUGUGGGGAGAGGCCGGCAGUCAGCAGGGCGGCCCCACCUCGCGCCCUCCAGCCCCACGUCUGCCCACCCACCUUGGAGCCGGCUGUCGAUGUUCUUGCCGUAGGACUUGACGUACAGGUGCAGGGGCAGCGUCUCGUUCCCGUCGUGGGACAGCUAGGGACACACAGGGACACACUGCACCCUCCGCUCCCACCCGAGCCCCCUCGGGUGACCGCUCUGCCCACAACUGCCCAUGUGUCCCCGCGCGGCUGAGGGGUUCCACAGGGAGGCCUCCAGACGGCUGGAAGGUGGCGCCUCAGAG